GAGAAAGGUGGAGGAACUAAAAUCCCAGUUGUCCGGACAGCAGUCACCGAAGCAUCGUUCCAGGUGAGUCACGCCAUCGUUAAAAACAAUAAGUCCUUCCAAGACGGAGAGAUGGUAAAAGAAGCAUUCGUUGAAGCAGCUGACUCAAGUAAUUCAGCAGGGUGUGACUGACAGGCUCCGCAGCUGCAGCUCGUUGAACCAAUCAGGAGGUGCUUAAAAGGAGCAGAAUCCCUGAAAGACACCAGGAUCCUGCUCCAGUAAACUUCGUCAGUGUUUGGCCUGGUCCUGGUGCAGAAACCUGAUGUUUUCUACCUUGUGUUUUCUAUAAACCUCCUAAAACUGCCAGAAGCAGGAACAUUGUCUGACUGGAAUAGCGAGGACCAGAAAGGGUCUGCUGCUCCUUGCUUCUACAGUGCUGUUGUAGAGCUCCUGGAUGGCUGUCAGUUCAACCCUGGUGAUGUAUUGUGCUGACUUCACCUCCCUCUGCAUGCAGUCUGCAUCAUUACAGCCACCAUACCAAGCAGUGAUACACCCUGCUAGAAGACUCUUAAUGCUCCACAAGUGGAAGGUACUCUCUACAGCAGCUGUUUCUCCCCCUCUGCCUCUUCAGUGCUCUCUGGGUCAUAUUCUCCUCCACGUAGCCUUGAUGUGUCCAUAAAAUACUAUAUUGUAAGAUUAAACCAUGUAUUGUACAUUGAUAACAUAGUUGUCCAGUUGGACUCUAACAGCCCUUAAUUCCCACUCUUGGUGCACAUCUUAGGUGGCCUAUUCUCUACAGUCAGAGAAUACAUCAUAAGUUAACUGUAACUGAAAUAAUCAUUUCAAUAUUAUCAUAAUUUUCCUAAUCCCAUGUGGCUCUACUGAUGACAUUUGAUUUGUUUAUGGCUGUACAGUCAUGAGUAAACAGGCUUUACAACAGGGUGCUGUUGUGGAAAAUUCUUUUUAUCCCUCUCAUCUAUGACCGCUGUGUUUGGUUACUUAGAGGAAAUGGGUUCUAAAUUCAUUAUCAGAAGAGUUUAUGGUUAACACUUCCUGAAGUGUUGUAUCUCAAGGGAUGGUAGAUGGGUGCCCUCAUAAAUAACUUUGUUACCUUUGACCCAGGGAGGGGUCUAGGGGCUAUAUUUUCAAACUAUUUUAUGUUGAGAUAACACCCACAUACUGGUAUAAAUACUGUCUGUAAAUUUUG